GACGAACGCUGGCGGCGUGCCUAACACAUGCAAGUCGAACGGAAAGGCCCUGCUUUUGUGGGGUGCUCGAGUGGCGAACGGGUGAGUAACACGUGAGUAACCUGCCCCUGACUUUGGGAUAACUUCAGGAAACUGGGGCUAAUAUCGGAUAGGAGCUCCUGCUGCAUGGUGGGGGUUGGAAAGUUUCGGCGGUUGGGGAUGGACUCGCGGCUUAUCAGCUUGUUGGUGGGGUAGUGGCUUACCAAGGCUUUGACGGGUAGCCGGCCUGAGAGGGUGACCGGCCACAUUGGGCCUGAGAGACGGCCCAGACUCCUACGGGAGGCAGCGGUGGGGAGUAUUGCACAAUGGGCGGAAGCCUGAUGCAGCAACGCCGCGUGCGGGAUAACGGCCUUCGGGUUGUAAACCGCUUUCGCCUGUGACGAAGCGUGAGUGACGGUAAUGGGUAAAGAAGCACCGGCUAACUACGUG
rnacentral:rRNA from 1 species